CAUGAAGACAUAGUUUUAUUAAUUUUAAUUUGAAGAGGAAAUGAAACCUAAAAGGGUUCAGAUUUUUCCACAGUUACAAUUUCAACCACCCAUGCAGUGAUCCACAUUCAGGCAAUAACACACACACACUCAUAGACUAUCUCGCCCCACACAGUCGCUCCGCGCAUACACAGUACAAUGUUACUGUCGGAACUCCACAAAGCUACACGUAAUGUUGAUCUUACCGCUCACUCACUCACAUCAAUCUUACCCGCACACAGCUUCCCUGUCAUCCGAACUCCCGCACGGUCUCCCUCACACACUCGCCACUUCCUCUGCCAACUCUCAGUCGUAGGACUGGGCUCGCGGCUGACUCCUUCAGAUUCCCCUGGACAAUUUGGUCUCUUUCACACGCUCAGGUCCCACAGUUCCGAUCGCUCUUCCAGCUCUCCGACACGCUCUGUGGCUGCCAGCCUCACGACAGUGCCCGCACUUUGAGAGUCUGGGAAUUUCAAGCAGCUUUCUGGGUUCAGUCAGUACAGUCACGUCGUCCUGGCCACAGCACUUCCAGUGCCACCUUGGCCACGCCUAUCAGAUCCCCGGAGGUUUUGGACUACAUUUCCCAGGAAGCCCCUGCGGCCAGCUGCGUACCUCGAGGCGUUAGCGGCCAAACUGGGAGAUGCGCAACCGCUCUAAACUUAGCUUGUACUGAAGACAGGUUACACUGCACAGAUUAAGCAGGCGAGGGAGACUUGGUUGACGAUUAAUGCAGAAUUGAGCGUUGUGGUGCAAGCCGGUAAUCCAAACACGCGGGAGACUGAAGUGGAGGAUCGUGACUGCCUUCACGGCAACCUUGCCAGUGAGUCGAGGCCGGCUUGAGCUACUGAGCGAGGCGCCAUCUCAACAACUAAGCAGUGUAACAGUCACCUUUGAAUACAAUAGUUGCUGGCGAGUUAUAGCCAAUGGCUCUGCCAUGCUUGGACGGAGACCUCCAGAAAGGAGUAAAGAAUGGCUGUUGAAUUGAACAUCAUCCAUAAAACAUCUCCAAGGUCCUGUUCCUGUUGUGUUGCUGUACCAGUGGAAUUUGCUGGAAAUCUGCCUUCUAGAAUUUCUUAGAAAUCUACCCUCCAAGUAUCUUAUCAGAAGCAUUUGCUACAAAACUGCCAGAAGAAGCAGCUAGGUGCUGGUGCUGCAGCCAUCAUAAGGUUUAAAAUAUGCAAUAUUGCUAAUACCUCAAAGCCUUCUGCAUGUUCAAACCAGUUAGUGUCUUUCACUUAUCCCUAAGGUGUAACCAUGAAGCAGGCUUUUGUAAAAAUCAUUUUUCUAUUACAAAUUUUUCAUCAACAUUAUGUGACUCCCUAAAGAAUAUUUUAGUUUUGCCUGCUUUGAACUUCACAUAAAUUUGUUCAUGAAGUAUGUGUUCUUUUAUUGGCUUUUGUUCAACAUUCUUUUGAUGAAUAGUUUAGAUGUUUUAAAUUUUUCACUGCUGUGUACUUUUCAUUUCAUAACUAUUAUGAUUAUAUCACAGAGUAUUUUAUUCAUAUAGAUUUGCAGAAAUUGGAUUUUUAGUCUUCACUUUUUAAUAAAAAGUACUGAUACACA